rnacentral:lncRNA from 1 species
AUGCGAUAUUCCUAGGGUAGAGGAAUAUGUGGGGGCUUAGAAUUCCCCAGACAAAGUCAGAGAAGCAGAAACCCUGCCAAUGAAGGGAGUUUUCCAUAUUGACCUGAUUCCAGAGGCUAAGUCAUGGUGGACUUGGACCAGAGUUUUUCCAUACUCCUAACUACUGUAUUAUUUCUGUAGCCCCUAUAGAAACACAUUUAAAUGUAAAAGUUUUUACUUAGAAGGACGUAUGAAUUAAAAUACCCAUAUUUAUGGACUUUGUUUUGGAUAGGUAGAAUUACAUAAUGACAGAUGGAAGAGAGAAACAGCUAAACAGUGUAUGGUGGAUCUGCCAUCAAAACCAGUGUGUGAAUGCUUGAAAGAACCAUUGUCCUUCUUGCCCGUACAUUACUGACUUGAUGGAAAUGCAUACAGUUGUAUCUUACGUACAAAGAAAUC